UCGCAUCGAUUGCAAUCAAUUCAAAUAAAGUACGACUGACAUUUACGAAGUUAUGUAAUUUUUUCACUAACGCCGAUAUAUCUGUUGUUCCGAAGCUUGGCAGAAUUCCGAUUUAUUAAUUUUUUUAUUGUUUUUUGUAGGCAAAACUUCCUAUUAAUUUUGUCGCAUCCUUGAUUUUUCCAUGGUUAUUUUUGAUUCAAAUAAAUGUUCUUGAAUAAUUCCUUAUUUCGAAAUGCUUGAGUUCUCACGUAAAAUACAUAAUUGGAUCUAGAAGGUUAAUUCUGUUUGGUCCAUUUCGAGGGAGGUAAAUGUUCUGUGCGAUGGUAUGAAAGGCAGACACAGUGAUGUAAUAGGCAGUAUGGGACUAUAAUGAAAUCUAUACUAUCAUAUCCUUACGGGUGGAUUAUCAGCAAAUGAAUCAUGCGCCAAUUGUAGAAAUCUACCCAGAAAUUUAUCAGAUAGUUCUGAUAGUAUUAUGUUUAUAAAACUUCCCGAUGAUUGGUCUGCCUAAUAUUACUAAACAAUUAAAUAUUGUGAUUUCAUUGGCCCAAAUAUCUAUAUUUCUUAAAUCUGGAUGUAAUUGUUUAGCUUUGUCGAACAGGCAAUUGCUAAUACAAAUUCCGCAUGCAAUAUUAUAUGGCGAUUGCGACACGUGGUUGUUAAUUUUUAAUUUUUUCUAUAGUAGUUGUGUAUUUCAACACAAUAUAUAAUUGCACAACAGCCUUAAUACUUCGAUAUAACUGUUAUCCCCGAAGAGUGCAAUGGAAACUGACGAAUAAAAGCAAUUUUCAUUGCCAUCUACUUCAAAUGAAACAUAGUUCGAUAAAAAACUAGGAUGUAAAAUUUUUUCCGAUGACUUAUCCAAAGUAUGCUAUUCUGGAUUAAAUAAAUAAAGGGUUGUUUUACGCAUUAACGAAAUCAUUUCUUCUAUUUCUUUCCUGUGCGGCUCAAUAUUAUUGUUAAUUCCUGGCAAUGAACUGAAGUCUUUGCUACAGAAAAUGUUUCAAAGAAUUACCAAAGCCUUUUUUUUUACUAUGGGGCUGCAUGUCUGCAAAUGGGAUAGGUAAACUUGCAUUUAUUGAACAGACUAUGAAC
rnacentral:lncRNA from 1 species